rnacentral:misc_RNA from 1 species
GUGAAUCAUCGAAUUUUUGAACGCAAAUUGCACUUUCUGGUAUUCCGGAAAGUAUGCCUGUUUGAGGGUCAGUUCAAUAAAAAUCGGCGUUGUUGCUGCCUUUCGUGGUGACGCGUCGUCUUUGGGUCGUCUUACCUUCGGAUAAGUGACUUAAAAUUUUUGCCUGAUUUUCGUACGUAUCUAAAUCUCUUACGUACUCUUGAGAUAUCGAAUGCUUAUUAUGUUCGUUCAUUCCCAUCAUUCGCGCCUAUAA